rnacentral:rRNA from 1 species
AUUGAACGCUGGCGGCAGGCCUAACACAUGCAAGUCGAGCGGAUGAAGGGAGCUUGCUCCUGGAUUCAGCGGCGGACGGGUGAGUAAUGCCUAGGAAUCUGCCUGGUAGUGGGGGAUAACGUCCGGAAACGGGCGCUAAUACCGCAUACGUCCUGAGGGAGAAAGUGGGGGAUCUUCGGACCUCACGCUAUCAGAUGAGCCUAGGUCGGAUUAGCUAGUUGGUGGGGUAAAGGCCUACCAAGGCGACGAUCCGUAACUGGUCUGAGAGGAUGAUCAGUCACAACUGGAACUGAGACCCGGUCAGACUCCUACGGGAGGCAGCAGUGGGGAAUAUUGGACAAUGGGCGAAAGCCUGAUCCAGCCAUACCGCGUGUGUGAAGAAGGUCUUCGGAUUGUAAAGCACUUUAAGUUGGGAGGAAGGGCAGUAAGUUAAUACCUUGCUGUUUUGACGUUACCAACAGAAUAAGCACCGGCUAACUUCGUG